UGUGGUACCCGGCUGACUUAAGCAUAUCAAUAAGCGGAGGAAAAGAAACCAACAGGGAUUGCCCUAGUAACGGCGAGUGAAGCGGCAACAGCUCAAAUUUGAAAUCUGGCUCUUUCAGAGUCCGAGUUGUAAUUUGCAGAGGGCGCUUUGGGCGUUGGCAGCGGUCCAAGUUCUUUGGAACAGGACGUCACAGAGGGUGAGAAUCCCGUACGUGGUCGCUAACCUUCGCCGUGUAAAGCCCCUUCGACGAGUCGAGUUGUUUGGGAAUGCAGCUCUAAAUGGGAGGUAAAUUUCUUCUAAAGCUAAAUACUGGCCAGAGACCGAUAGCGCACAAGUAGAGUGAUCGAAAGAUGAAAAGCACUUUGGAAAGAGAGUCAAAUAGCACGUGAAAUUGUUGAAAGGGAAGCGCUUGCAGCCAGACUUGCCUGUAGUUGCUUAUCUGGACUUUUGUCCGGUGCACUCUUCUGCGGGCAGGCCAGCAUCAGUUUGGGCGGUUGGAUAAAGGUCUCUGUCAUGUACCUCUCUUCGGGGAGGCCUUAUAGGGGAGACGACAUGCAACCAGCCUGGACUGAGGUCCGCGCAUUUGCUAGGAUGCUGGCGUAAUGGCUGUAAGCGGCCCGUCUUGAAACACGGACCAAGGAGUCUAACAUCUAUGCGAGUGUUUGGGUGUCAAGCCCGGACGCGUAAUGAAAGUGAACGGAGGUGGGAACCCUUUGGGUGCACCAUCGACCGAUCCUGAUGUCUUCGGAUGGAUUUGAGUAAGAGCAUGGCUGUUGGGACCCGAAAGAUGGUGAACUAUGCUUGAAUAGGGUGAAGCCAGAGGAAACUCUGGUGGAGGCUCGCAGCGGUUCUGACGUGCAAAUCGAUCGUCAAAUUUGGGCAUAGGGGCGAAAGACUAAUCGAACUAGCAACGCGUG
rnacentral:rRNA from 1 species